AUGUGCAAUGAGAUGAGAGGUUUUGCUGCCAGGAAAGAGUGAUUGAUUGCAGUAAGUAUCAGCAGUGUGAGGACAGAUAAGCUUAUUUUUGGAAGAGGGACGACUCUCACAGUUGAGCCAAACAACAUAAGGAGUUCUGACCCACAAGUCAUUGUGAUGAAGUCGAGAAACUGGAAGAAGAUGGCAACUCCGAGAAAGUAGCUUGUUUGGCAAGGAAGUUCUAUACAAAGAAUGUCAUCUUGGAGGUGUCCUCUAAUGAAGCCAUAUAUGAGCAAAAUACACCCGUUUUGACAUCAGAAGGGUUGUACGAUACCAUUAAGGUGGUCAGUGCAACAAAAGGCACAGAGGUGGCUUGCACAGCCAAACACGAUGGCAAAGAAGCAUUGCUAGGUACAGUUUCUACAGAAAAGGAGGCUGAAGAAUCAGUAACAGGGAACAUUUGCAACACCACAGACAUCUCUAUGCAAGAUGCUGAAGGGGAGAAAACAAACAUGCUCUCUGUGACUGUGUUGGGCUUGAGAGUCCUGCUGGCAAAAAGUAUUGCCUUCAAUGCACUCAUGAGCAUCAAGCUGUUUCUUUUCUGA